rnacentral:lncRNA from 1 species
GCGAGGCCCGGGCACCAGCGGCGGCGUGGUCAGAGCGAGCCUCGCAGAAGCUGCGGUGGUUUCCGUGUGUUGGUGGAGGAACAGGCAGGUGUUGGUGGAGGAACAGGCAGAUCUCGGCGGUUUUUCCACAUGGCUGCAAAUGACUAGAUUUCACCCAUUUCUAUGGUUGAAGAAUAUUCCAUUCUGGAUGUAUAUUGCAGUUUCCUCAUCCCUUCAUCAAUGGAUGAACAGGACAACCAAGUCCCUGCAUAUCUCCUCUGGACACCACAGGUUAAACCUUCCAAGAGAUAGCAACAAUUGUCAAAACCUCUUCACCUUGAUAGCAAGGAAGGAGGAAGGACCCUGAAGACCUUUGAUGCCCCCUUUUCAGCAGCAGAAAUGAGAAGAUGAGAAUAUAAGUGCUUUAGAGUCAUGAAAUGUUGCCAAUGGGUGAAAAAAGAAAACGAAAAAUAAUUUUGUAACCGUUAAGCAUGAUGAAAAUGUAAAUGUCAGCUUUUACCAGCAAAAUCAGGUAGUAAGUCAUUUUACAAGAUGACAGUGAAAGAGUAUACAAAUGAAGAUGUAGUGCCAGAGAAUAUUUUUGAGCUAAAAGCCAUUGUUUCAUUCUGUGAUGAGCUAAAGGAUGACAUAACAACAAGCAGUCAAUGAAGAUAUCCAGAGAGUAAUGCGUGAAUAUUGUGUCUAUCCAGUGCUUUUAGACUGCUUCUUGCAAAUGGCAUUUGUCAUGCCCACAAGAACCAGAAAGAUAGAAGAAAAAGCUGUUUUUUCACCAAAGAUUGGCAAAAAUCUGGAGAGGAAAGUGGGUAUAUACAUCAAGGUCAUCUAUAGAAAACCAUUUUGAAGUGUAAAGUGUGUGGGUUCUUUACAGACAAAUAUGGUUCCAUGCUAUGAAGACUAGAACAGAUUGUGUUCAUGUAUAGUAAACAAACACAAUCUAAUGAUAACUUGCUUCUAGAAAAUGUGGAAGCCAAUGUUACAAUUCAGGUGCUUCAAAACUGUGGUGAAAUGCCUCCACGAAUUGCUCUAGGCAACGUAUUUGAAAUAGCUAAAUAUUUGCCUUAUGACUCUAAGUAUACUGGGUUUCAGAAAUGAAAAACAAGUGAGAUGGGAGAGUAGGUGAUACAAUGAAGAUUUAAAUCAAGGAUUUUAUUAUAUUUUCUUCUUGUGGAGAAUUCAAACAC